rnacentral:lncRNA from 1 species
AUCCUUGCAAGUGAUUAAUUAACAUGAAUGAAGUAGCUUCAUCGGCUGAGAAUCCCCUUUUGUUCAUUUCCUCUAAGAAUGGCAUUGCCUUGUCAAGUUCUUUCUUCUUCAACAAGCAAUGGAUAAUGACGUUGUAUGUCACGCUAUUCGGUACACAACCGCUUCUCUCCAUUUUUAUAAGCAAAUCUUUUGCCUCGUCGACAAAUCCAUCCUGACAAAGUGAAUCGAUAACAACUGUAUAAGCUUGACAGUUUGGUUGCAAACCUUGGACGGAAGUUCUUUUAAAAGCUUUUUUGCCUCUUCAAGUUUCCCAUCGUUGCACAAACCAUUAAUCAAGAUACCGUAUGUGACUAUAUUAGGAAUUAAUCCUUUGUCUUCCAUCACCCGUAGAAACGAAAAUGCUUCGGCAAUCUGAUGAGUUUUGCACAAACUAUCCAACAAAAUAUUGCAAGUAUGUAAAUCUGGACGUACGUGCCGAGCUUCCAUAUAGUUGAAUAGUUUCCAUCCAUCGGCAAUUCUGCCUUCACUAAAUAAUCCAUGUAUCAUGGUAUUAUAAGUAACUGUCGUGUGUUCUAAGCCUUUCGAAGAAACUUCGAGGAAAAGACGCCAAGCUUCAUCAACUUUACCCUUCUUGCAGUAUCCGUUGAUUAAAGUGCCGUAGCUCAUAAUACAUGGCUUAAGGCAGAAUCAAAUACUUGUUUCGCCUUUUCCAUUUUCCCUUGCAAACAAUACCCAUCCAUCAACGCAUUGUACGUGAAAAUAUCAGGACGAAUAUUUUGUUGCUUCAUAAUUUUCAAAACAUCCUCAGCCUCUUUAAUAUUUCCUUCCUUGCAAAAUGCGUCCACCAAUACAGUAAAAGUAACAACAUCUAACGGAAUCUUGUGAUUCACCAUUUCAUUCAGUAAGUCUUUGACCUCUUUCCAUCUACCAAAAUCGCACAAGCCCUGAAUCAUGGAGUUAUAUGUGACAACGUCAGGUGAAAUGCCCUUAUCAACCAUUCUAGACUUGAGCUCGAGUGCAUUAUCCACCAUUUCAGUCUUGCAUAAGCCAUUAAUUACCGCAUUAUAAGCCUUAACAUUGGGUUUAUAAAUAGUCUUUUCCAAUAAGAAAAGCAAAUCAUGGGCAGCAAGAACAUGUCCAGUUUUGCAGAGCCCAUCUAUCACAGUAAGAAUCGUAACUUCGUUAGGCUCGCAAAUUUUCGAAGUCAAAAGCUUCUUGAACAAUUUCUCCGCCUCGGCCACCUUACCAUUUAAAAAGAGCCCUUUUAGGAGAGCGGUGAAUGUCGUAACAUCUGGCUCGUAACCGUGUUUAAAGAAGACGCCGAAGAUAGCAAAACCAACGUCUACACGUUUCAAAAGGCAACAACAAUUAAUCAAGAUGGUCAUUGUGUACUCAUUUACAGGGGCACCCAGUUCACGCAUUUCGUCGAACAGUUUGAGGGCAACCGAGUAUUGUUUCAAAUUGACAAUAACUUUCAAUUGUUUGGUGAAUUCAAAAAUGGGGGGCUGCGGCCGCAUUCUCACCAUUUUGCGAAACAAGAAAAUAGCUUCAUCUACUUCAUUUGCACAGCUCAAAUCUCUUCGGAGGUUAGGUGAAAAAAGUCUAUCUUUGUGGCGCACGCUAUGAAAAUUUAGCAGAAAUUGCUCUACGAAUAGGAGGCGCUAUUGCAGAAAUUCUCAUCUUCUUAAAUCGAUUUUUGUGAAGAAAAUUCUACUGCAGUGCAAAAUGAAGUUGCACAAAGGUGCAGUCUGUUCUUUAAUGGUUAUAAAUUAUAAUUGACUAAUUACAUCUAGACCCCUUCAAAAUAGUAUAAUUACAAAUAAUUUUCAUUGACUCUAAAUUUUGCAACUAUCAAUAUGCAUUACCUUCCCUCUAAGUUUGUUUUAAUAAAAAGGGUUUAUUGCAAUUAGUACCCGUUUCUGUAUUAUUUAUGAUUCAAAUUUUGUUAGCACACAAGUACAACCCCUGACCGGGAGUUAGAGGGGUACUAACUGCAAAAAAAAAAAACUAAAUCACGGGGUGUUUUCCUUAUUUUAUGUUUUUAUUUAAUUAUUUCAGUACUUGAUUUGUCAGCAGUUUGUUAUAAGGUGCUGUGAAGGAAUGAGAAAGGCAUGAUCAAUUUUCAGAAUUUUAUCUCUCUCUCUCUCGUCUCCUUCUCUCUAUCCUUCUACUCUUCUUAUUCCCAAAUUCUCAUAAACCCUAGUAAUAUCCAAUCUAAAAAUACAAAAAUAUAUCGGAAUUUUACAUUUUACUAAUAAAAUAACACGGGAUAGUUUUUUAGCAAUUGGAUGUAACACCAGAGUACUAAUUGCAUUCAACUCCUAAUAAAAAACCCAAAGGAAAACAUAAUAAGGGUAAAAGAUAGCUUGAUGGAAAAAAAUAAAAAACAGUAGGACAUAAAACAAAUUUGGUUAAGCUACUACCAACACAGUAAAGGGGGAGUGUUAACCACAAAUUUUUCGAGUCUGCAAAAUAUAAUAAAAAUACAAGACAAGAAAAUAGGGAACAAAUAAUUUAUUAAUCAAAACGAUGCGGAUUACAAUCUCAGUAAUUCCCCUGAUUCUUCUCUCCUAUUCUAAUUUUGAUUCAAGGGCUUAAAAGCUUGUUCUUGAAUCGAAGCUAUGAUUUCCUAUCACGAACACCUCGAAUUUAAAUAUGUUAUGAAUUCGAGGAAUUGAACAUAUGAUUUCCUAUCACGAACCUCUCGAAUUCAAAUAUGUUAUGAAUUCGAGGCGGAGGCUCGAGACGUGAGCUUGAGAGCUCGAUAUGUGUCUGUGUGAGUCUGUUUUUUUAGAUGCACCAAAGAUCUUCUUUUAUAGGCACAAGCUAGGGUUAGGGUUUCUCGACUUGCACAGUGGGCCGGACAUUGUAAAGCCCAAAUAUGUUAUGGACUUUAAUUUGAGACCUAAAUUAAUAACCGAUUUAUCUUGGUUAUUAAUUAGUAAUUUAUCUCAAAUUUUCGAUAUCUACAGGGAGAACUAUUAUGAGCACAAACACUUCGCACAUUUUCUUGAUGUCAAGAGUUUUUAUGAUCCAACAAGGCAAGCCCAUUACUUAACCCAAGAAAACAUCGCAUUUUGGGAACACGUUGACUAAUAGGUAUUUCCGGUUUUUAGUUCUACAUUUUAUAAUAUAUUGUUGAUGUUUUAGUUAUAUGUUGCAAUUGUUGAUGACUACGACUAGGGUGGGGAGUGCUCACAGUUCGUCCAAGGGUUGGAUCUACCGGAGCUGUUAACUCCGUGCAAUUUCAGCUUGAUUCGGGGGUUGAGCUUCAACUAACCAGGAUUAAGACGGAUUUUUCAAAAUCCUAUCAGGAAGGACAAAGCAGUGUAUCCAGUUUUUCAAGGUUUGAUACGCAAUGUCACAUAUAAGGCAUUAGAUUUGUUGGAUGAUGAGCUCAGUAAACCAGUUGUACAAGAUUCGGCUAGCUCUACCCACGUUCUUAGUGUUACCCAUGGACUUCCGUGUGCUUACCAAAUUGAGAGAAAAAUCCAGGAACGUGAUACAUUCUGGGUGAAGAUGUGUUGCACAAGUUGUGUACGGAGAUAAUAAAAGAUGGAAUCGAGUGAGAAAUAUGAAUUUCAACUAAUGCUUAGCCAACAAAUGUUAUCGGAGCUCCGAUUUAGUUAACAAAUGUUGAAGUCAACUAAUGCUUAGCCACGCAUAAGGUUGCGUCACAUGGUUAGCUUAAUGUGGUCCACGUCUCUCAUAUGGUUUGCAAGCUAUCAUACGAGAGUGUAGGUUUAUCCAGUGCAUCUAUAUGGUUGGCCGCGGUUUCUUUUUACCAAAAAAAAAAAAAACUAAUGCUUAGCCAGCUAAUCGAAGCUCCGACGAUCCACCGCAAAAGCUAAUGUGUAGUAUGCUAAUUGAUCAGAGCUCCGACUACACUCGAGUUUCCGGAGAAGUUUUGGCCGGAAAUAGUCAAUUUCGUGAUUGGUGCUCCAAAUAAUAGAGUUUGGGGGGCAUCGUGCAACUUUUUUUUUUUAGUCUAGGGGGUAAUGUGCGAAACACACCAAAGUUUGGGGUGCAAAAUGCCAUUAACCCUUUUAAAUAUUUUGUUAGGUACUAACAAUAUUAAAUAACAAUAUAGCCCCCUAUUUAUACAUCUUGUACUAUAUUAGCUCUCUUUUUUUUAUUCUUUUUUUUUAGAAACUCUUUAAUUGUACAAUAUUAAAACUCUUUUUUUUUUAUUCAAAUGUAUCAUAUCAAUUCCCAAUAUAUCAAUAUUUUCUUUAAUUGGCCAUGUAGUGGGUGGUCUAGCGGUUGGAGUAAGAGAACAAGUGUAAAUUAACCCAAGUUCAAAUUUCUUGCCAACUGUUUUUAGGUCGAUAUAAAAUAAAAUAAAACAACUAAUUAAAACAAGGGAUACGUGGCAGCCAAAUCAAUUGAAUAUUAUAUGUAAGGUCAGUCAACUUAAAGAAUAAAUGGUAAAUUAUGAAAAUUCCUUGAACUUAGGCUAAAUUACGAAAACACCCCAUCUAUCCAUAAUAGUAAAAAGAGUUGUGAGUGUGUUAUUUAAGAAGAAUAAAAAUUCCGUGUAAAGGUCCUCAAGGAUAUUUUUUGUUUUUAAAAAGUAGCAUAAAGAAAUGCCACGUCUACAGGGGUAGAAUAGGCAUUUUUCGAAAAUAAUCCCUCGACUCAAAAAGAUUCCAUGAAAAAUCCCACCAUAAGGGGCAGGUGUAAGACGAAAACAAACGUCGGAGAGUUUUAGUAAUUACGAAUAUGUGGGGAUGUUUUUUAUAAUUCAGGCUAAGUUCAGGGGGUUUUUUGUAAUUUACCUAAUAAAGAAACACAAACUCCACAAAAACUAAGAUGAUAUUACAACAAUUAGUCAUGAGGGUAAAAUCGGUAUUUGCUGAGUGAUAGUACAUGAAAUAAAAAAAUCCGUCAAAUUUCACACCGUAAAGGGGAACUUUGUAUGACAACAACAACAAACAUUAGGGGGGUUUCGGUAAUUACAAACAACGUGGAGAUUUUUUUUUCUUAAAUCGACCUUAGUUCUCGCAUAUGAUAAAUCAAUAUGUAAAGCACAACUUCGACGUAUCCAAUUUCACUUUCAUUUUUAUUCCUUUGUUUUGUUUCGUGCGUAGAAAUAAAAAUGCACCGGUAGUCUACUUUUUGACUGUAUGUUUCUCGGUUUUAUUUUUCAAUCAUUACAUAGAUUUUAUACAUCUCUCAACAUCGAGCACACGCACGAAUUGCGUGGGACCCGGUUAGGGAGCAAUUUGGAGCCGGUAGAUCGAUCAAACGCUUGGAUUGCUCUCGAUAAACGUAUUGGUCGCGUCGAAAAGUGACCGUAAGUGGGCCAAACGAGCAAUUUUCACCUCUAGUGUUGGGUCGAUGGUGGCUGAACGAACUUCGCGUGCAUAUGCUGAUCAAACAAAAUAUUUCAAGUAUAUAAAUUAGGAUGUAUAUGCCAAAUUUCCAUAUCAUUAACAAAGUUUGAAUUUGUUAUCAACUUCUGAAAAUAUUGACAUUUUGUCAAAAGGGUUACUUCCGCCCCCUAAAUUUAACAUAGUGAUUUAAGAUUAUGGAUGUGUUGAUAUACACCCAUAAUAUGGAAAAUAUAUAGGGAUAGGUCCACCCCUAAAAUUCUUUCUUUCUAAUAGACAAAAAGACUAUGAUGCCCCUUACAUACAAUUUUUGCCCUAACUGCAUUAACAUUUCCACCAAGUGCAUAUAGCAUUUUCGUUUUAUUUUUUAAUAAUUUUUUUAUUAAAAAUAAUAAAAUAUACAUUUUAUUUUCUUAAAAAUUUCUGAUUUUUUUUCCCGAAAAGUUUACAUACUAUUUCGAAUAUGACUAUAGUCAACUAUAGUCAUAUCCUUUCUUCAUAUAUCGUUUUUUUAUAUUUUCUACUUAAAAUUGUAUAUUCUCAAUUAUAUAAUGUAGCUCAGUCAUAUUAAACAAAUUUUAAAAAAAACUAUUAUUUAUGAAAUAAUCAAUCAACAUUCACAAAUAAACAAAAAAAAAUCAUAAUUUGAAUCUUGUUAUUACAAGUCAACUUUCCACAAUAUGUAUCCAAAAUUCACAUGUGUAAAUUUUUCAACUGAAACAACCAUCAACAUCACUGUACAUUAAAAAAAAGUUACAUAUCUUAUAUAUAACUAUACAUAACUACAUAGUUGAUUCUCUCUAAUUGGCCAGUUGUUACCCAUCUCCUUCAACAUAGAAUUUUUUUGCUGCAACUAAAUUCUACACCAGAAAACACCAAAAAACAUACAGAGAUCGAGAGGAGAUAGAGGAAUAGGGAGAAAGAUACUUUAACCUCAGAAUUUGACGGCGGUGGAUGACUCAAAACGAUUGAUCAAAUCACAAUCACACAAAAAUCUAAACAAAUAAAAAAGUACCCAAAAAAUUAAUAUACCCUUACUUUGGUCUAAGAUCUCGCGGCGGUGGCAAAAACUCAACAACGGCUCCUAUCUAUUCUCUUCCCUGACUUUGGCCUCUAAUCUCACGGCGACGGUGACAGAGGACUCCACAAAUUCCGAGGAGCGGCACUAGACGGAGGGGGGGAGGCGCUUAAAGGGUGGAGGGUUUGUGAGUUAACCUGCUUCAACACAUUGAAGAUGUCGAUCUUUUACAUCUCCACGCUCUUCUUUGUCCUCUUCUUCUUCUCUCCUCCGACGACCACCUUCUUUUCUGCCUUGGGAGCCAUUUUUUGUCGCUGAAAUUUGGCGAGAAAGAGUUAGAGAGAGAAAUGAAGAGGUAGAGAGAAGGAGAGAUGUAACGACGGGAGGAAGAGGAAGAGAGAAGGUUAGGGGUUAGGGCAUUUAUUCAAACUAAAGGGCAAAACACGUACAGUUACCCAGUUGGGAGGUCUCACAAAUUAAGAUCACAAUUUGGUUUUUUUACUAUGACGAAGAAAAUUAUUGGACCUCCUCGUAUAUAUUUUCAAAACUAAUGGUAUCACUCAUUAACCCUUUAGAAUAUCUAUUAGGGAAGCCAUAGAAACAAAAGAAAUAAAUGACUAUAUAAAGUUAAAUUUUCCAUAUGUUUGAUAAAUGAAUAUCUAUUAGGGAAGCACACAUAUCCAAAUUUUUCUCUUCUUUCUAGUCAAAAUACCGACGGCUUGUUAUCUUUCCUACGCCACUAUCCACCCAUAAUAUAAGGAUUGCGACAACCGAAAAACUCACAAGUCAGAAGUACAUAUACAAAAGUUGUAUCUCAGCUACGUUACCUGCAAAAAUAUUAAAUAAGCAAAACCUUAUUAAAUUUGAGAAGCCCAAAUAAUUAAUUUACAUUUUUGGCACAAGUUUCUUCAUCAUUUCCAAAAGAAUAUCGUCUUUGUUUGAUCCUUGCACGUGAUUAAUUAACAAGGAUGAAGUAGAUGCGUCGGCAUAGAAUCACCUUUUGUGCAUGUCCUCUAAGAACGGGAUUGCCUUGGAAACCUCAUUCUUCUUUAGCAAACCUUGAAUUAUGUUGUUGUACAUCACACUAUCCGGUGCACACCCACUCCUCUCCAUUUUCACAAGCAAAUUUUUUGCCUCGUCUACACACCCUUCUCGGCAAAGUGAACCGAUAACAAUGGUAUGCGCUUGACAAUCAGGUUGCAAACCUUUAGAAGGAAGUUCGUUUGAAAGAUUUUUUGCAUCUAUAAUUUCCCCAUCUUUGCACAAACCAUUAAUCAGGAUACCGUAUGUGAUUAUCUUCCAUCACCCGUAGAAAUGAAAAUGCUUCGGCAAUCUGAUGAGUCUUGCACAAGCCAUCCAUUAAAAUAUUGUAAGUGAAUAAACCGGGAUGUACUUGCCGAGCUUCCAUAUCCUUAUAAAGUUUCCAUCCAUCAGCAAAUCUACCUUCAAUAAUCCAUGUAUCAUGGUAUUAUAAGUAACCGUCGUGUGUUCUAAGUCUUUCGAAGAAACUUCGAGAAAAAGACGCCAAGCUUCAUCCACUUUACCCUUCUUGCAAUAUCCGUUUAUUAAAGAGUUAUAGCUGAUAAUACAUGGCGUAAGGCCGUUUAUUCCAAACCCACUCAUCUUCUUCAGCUAUUUUAUGAAGAUAAUUUACUUGGUCAAUGGAAAGUGUGGUAAUUACUUGGUCAAUGGAAAGUGUUGUAAUUACUUAGAGAGUGGCAGUUUCUGUAAUUACUUGGUCAACGGAAAGUGUUGUAAUUACUUUGAGAGUGGCAGUUUCUGUAAUUACUGCUAAAUAAUUAUUUGUUGAGCGUGAGUUCUCUAAUUGUUGCUGAGUGGCAGUUAUGUAUUCAUUUGUUGAGUGUGAGUUCUGUAGUUGCUGCUCAUAAGCAUUUCUUUAAUUAUUUGUUGAGUGGUAGUUUUGUAAUUACUUGGUGAAUGAUUAUUCUGUAAUUAUCUGUUGAAUGCCAGUACUGUAAUUACAUGUCGAAUGGCAGUUCUGUAAUUAAAUGUUGAGUACUAGUUUUGUAAUUAUUGAUGAGUGACAGUUAUGUAAUUACUACCGAGUAGCUGUAAUUACUUGUUGAGUGAAAAUUCUUUAAUAACUUUUGAGUGGCAGUUCUGUAAUUAUUUGGUGAAUGACAAUUCAGUAGUUAUUGGUAAAUGGCAGUUCUUUAAUUAUUUGUUGAGCGACAAUUUUAUAAUUGCUGUUGAGUGAUAGUUAUGUAAUUACAGGGUGCAUGUCACUUCUAUAAUCAUUGAUGAAUUGCAGUUCUGUAAUUAUUUGUUGAGUGGCACUUCUGUAAAUACUUGUUAGUGGCAUUUCCAUAAUUACGAUAUUGAGUGGCAUUUCUGUAAUUACCAAGUGUGUGAACAUUAUGUAAUUACUUGAUGCGUGACAAUUCUGUAAUUACUGUUAAGUGGCAGUGUUGUAAUUACCGGUGAGUAGGAAUUCUUGUACUGUUGAAUGUCAAUUUUGUAAUUAAUGUUGAAUGGCAGUCAUGUAAUUAUUUGUUGAGUGGUAGUUCUAGAAUUACUUGAUGAUUGGCAGUUCUGCAAUUGCUGUUGAGUGGAAAUCAUAUAAUUACUUGGUGCUUAGCAAUUAUGUAAUUACUUGAUGAUCGGCAAUUUCGGAAUUACUAUUAAGCAGUGUUCUAAAAAUCGGCCGAGGCGGCCGAUUAAUCGGUCUCCGAGGCGGAGGCGGUCCAAAACCUUUACGAUUUUAGUGUAAAGGUUUGAAAAAUCGGUUUUUUGCCUGUGAGGCGGUCCGAGGCGGUCAAACCUUUAAGGCGGCAAACUCGGUGGCAAAAAUCGGUUAAAAAUCGGUUUUUUUAUUUUAUUAUUUUUUUUAUAAUUCAAAAGAAAAGUUGGAUUUUAAUAAAAGAAAAUAUGAGUUUAUGCCUUAUUUUGUUUAUGUUAAUUGUUAUUGUUAAAGAACUAAUGAUCUUAUAAUUAUUAAACUUUCAUUAUGUUAUUAGGAUAUAUACAUGAUGGAGAUAUAACUAUGUUUAAAUAUCUUUUUAUAUAUGUUUGGAGUAUUUAUAAAUAAUAUUUAGAAAUAUAUUAUAUUAAAUUUUCAAAACCGAUUUAUUUCCGAUUUAUCACCGAUUAAUCACCGCCGCACCGAUUAAUCGUGAGUCGGUGCCUCACCGACUCGGAUCCGAUUAUCGCUUUUUACAACCUUGCUAUUAAGUGGCAGUUCUGUAAUUACUUGGUGAGUGGUAGUUCUGUACUUACAUGUUGAAUGUCAAUUCUGUAAUUACUUGGUGGGUGGUAGUUAUGUAGUUAUAGUUGAGUUGCAGUGCUGUAAUUAUUAGGUGAGUGACAAUUAUGUAAUUACGGAUAAAUGACAGUUAUGUAAUUAUUGGUUAAAUGACACUUCUAUAUAUACUAUUGAGUGGCAGUUCUAUAAUUACUUGGUGAAUGGUAUUUUUGUAAUUACCUGGUGAGUGGUACUUCCGUAACUAAUGCUUAAUGGGAGUUAUGUUAUUAUUUGUUGAGUUAUUAUUUGUUGAGUGGCAGUUUCUUUAACUACCUGGUGAGUGACAGUUCUGUAAUUACAAUGUUAAGUGACAUUUCCUUAAUUACUUGGUGAAUGGUAAUUCUGUAAUUACUUGGUGCGUGAAAGUUCUCUAAUUAAUGUUCAGUGGUAGUUCUAUAACUAAUCGAUAAGUGGCAAUUCCGUAAUUACCUGCUAGAUGCACUUCUUUAUUUACCUGUUGAGUGGCAAUUAUGUAAUUAUUUGAUAAGUGGUCGUUCUGAUAUUACUAUCGAGUGACACUUUCGUAAUUACUGGUUGAGUGGUAGUUCUGUAAUUACAUGUUGAGUGGUAAUUUUGUAACUAUUUAUAAGUGGUAAUUUUGUAAUUACCUACAAAGUAGUAGGUUUUAAUUACAUAGUGAGUGGCAAUUACGUAAUAAUUCGGAGAGUGACAUUUCUGUAAAUACUACUAUAUGACAGUUCUGUGAUUAUUUGUUGAGUGUAAAAAAAAUAAUUAUUUGAGGAUCAAUUUUGUGCGAGAAAAAGUUGACCAAAACUGUAAUUGUCUCUAGUUAGAUAUGUAUACGAUACUUUUUAGAAAAAAAUACAUAUAAAAUUUUAUAAGCGGUUGCAUUAGAUAAAUGAUACUCUAUAUGUUCUACAAUAACUGUCUAUUUUUAAAUAUAUUUUGUUUUAUAUUAUCUGUCACUUUAGAUUUCCAAUACUACAUUAAUUACUUAAUUUCCAGUUUAUACCCUUAUAAACUCUUUCUAAUACUUCUUUUUUUAAUUCAUUUGUCUCUCUUAUUAAUUAUAAGAUAAGUUCAUUUCUGCCUAAAAGCAUACAUUUUUCAUAAAAUCAAGACACAUUUAAUGGAAUCCUUAAUCCGUGUGCAAAUCUAAAUACGACUAUUAAAAGGGAACUGAGGGAGUACUUUUUAAGGAAACAUAUAUUUUUUAUUUUCUUCCCCAAAAAAUCCAAUCCUUCUUCGAAACUUUCCAAAAGAAUUCCAUAACUUUCCUAAAUAUAGUAAUCACAUGAUUUUCGAAAAUAACCAAAUAACGAAGGGUCAAUUAGGGAGAACACCCCCCCCCCAUUAUUUGUUUGGGUCUUAUGAUAUAGGUCCCUGGUGACAAAACUAAUAAGAACUAAAUGACAAGCCCAACUAAACUUUUGUUUCACAUCCUUUAUUAAAUUCAUUCCAAAAAUGCUCCUCCACAUAUAAAUUCGAAUUUGUUGUAAGCAAAAUUCAAACAACAUUUAUCGUUUUAUUAUACAUUUAAUAUCUUCAUUUUUUCAUCUAAUAAUAUAUUUUAUUUUAUUUUUACCGACGUGGUCAUCUUUAUUUUUUCGUUUUUCACUCUAGCAAUUUUUACUUUAUUAUAAUUAAAUUUUUUUUAACAUUUUAUUGAAAAUUACGGAAAAUAAAUUUUCGGUUUUUGUCCAAUAAUACAGUAGAUUUUAAAAAAUACUAUGGUGCACUAUGGUAUACUAUGGUAUGCUAUGUUAUGGCGGCAUACUACGGUAUACUAUGGUGUACUACUCCGAACUCUAUCAUUCAACAACUUACAACCGCCGCCAAACCCUAACUUCCAACAUCUUCCAACCACCACUAAAUCAUAGCAUCCAACAAAAUUCAGUCGCCGUCAAAUCCUAUCUGCAAAAACCUAGUCGUCCACCGUACCAACCCUAGCCGCCGACCAAAUUAAACCCUAGCCGUUGACCAAUUUAAACCCUAGCCGCCAUAGCCGUUGACCAAAUUCAAACAUAGUUGUCGACCAAAUUAAACCCUAGACGUCGACCAAAUUAAACCCUAGCCGCCAUAGCCAUCGACCAAAUUAAACCCUAGCCGUCAACCAAAUUAAACCCUAGCCGCCAUAGCCGUCGACCAAAUUAAAACCUAGUCGACAUAGCCGCCACCAUCCGCCAUAGAUAUGACCUCCACCACCAUAGUCGUCGACCUCUUGCCUCCAUAAUUAUCCCCUUAUUGUCGCCGCCUCCCUAACUAUGCUACAUCUAAUUAUGUUUUCAACUAGGGACCUCUAGCAUAUUAACCCUUUAUUUGUUUUCAUAGAACUAAACUCACUUUGUUAUUUGUAAUUGAGAGACUCCCUAACUUCUCAUAACUCCAUUUUACUCAUACAUUAUUCCAUAUUUCCACCCAUCUUACCCACUACGUAUGUAUCGUUAUAUUUUCUACUUUUUUUUUUAAUAAAUUCAUCUUUUUGUUUCCUGGAAGAUUUACCGCAUCAUAAACAAUUCAACAAAUCAAAGAAACUCAUUUAACAUGUAUCAACAAAUCAAAGAAACUCCCAUUGGAAUUUUUAUCUUUGGCCCAAAAAUCUGUCAGAGUUGUAGUAAACCCUAGUCGAUUGAGAGCAACGGUAACAUCUGCUACUGCACAUCAUUUACGGUAAUCUCUUUAUUUCUUUCUUGUUCCAAUUUUUAGAGAAAUAUCUAUAUUCCAUUGGAGGUUAUUUACCCAGUGAUAUUUCAAGAGAUCAAAACGAGGAGAACAAAGCAACAAUUUAGUACACUGAGAUUUGAGAGAACAGAAGGUUUGUUUAUUUGUACAAUUUUAUUUUUUUACUUAGGUUGUUUUAUGUAUCAUUUAUGUGCAUAAAAGUAGUAAGAACUUUUACAGGUCUAAUUGCAACUCUAUAUCUGCAACUUAAUUUACUAUUAAGCAAUGGAUUUUUCGUUUUUUUACUGAAAGUUCAUAAUCUUGCAGUUUCGUCGACUCACCCUUUCUUGCAAAUUAGUCUCUCUGUUUCAUGUGGUAUGUUCUUAAAUAGCCUUUAAUAAUUGUUUUAAUUCAACAUUGAAACUAUUGUCAACUAUUCAAAGUUGCUGAGAAUCAGCAAGUAAAUUGAUGAUUGGGAGUUUAUCACUCUGUAGAACAAGGUAAGUAUCAUUUAUCAAGUAGACAAAUGCCUUUCCCGAGCCACACAAUAUAAAAUAAAUAAAAUUGUAAGUUGUUUUUACUAUUAACAUGCUACUAAUAUAGUAUUCUUCAUCAUUUUUCAUAAGAAUGUCACAGGGCAUCAUAUGCUUGAAAUUGAUUGGUGAUGUGGUUUGCUUCUGGACAUGUGCAUAUGCUGGAAAUGUUUACUAUACAGAGACAACAUGCUCCUUAUUGAAGGUUUAUAUUUUUUAUAAAAUUAUCUACCUUAUUUUGAUCAUAUCAAAUUUUAGUUUUGCUUAUUGGUUCUUCUAUGUUUGCAGUCAAGACAAGUGGCCAAAGAUCCAGCCAUAUGUGAAAAUAUACUCUAACAUAUUGCAAGAUUUUCUCAAUUAUAAGCUCUAUUAAUCUUUUUUUUUUCUUCAUAUUAUCUAUUUCUCUAAUAUCUAGCUAAUAUCUCGUGAAUUUUCUUCUAUUUUGCUACAGCAAAUGCUACAUUUGAAGGUAAAUAUUAUACCUAACUAGUCAUUAGUAUCUAAGUUGUCUUCUUAGGUUAAGUCACUAUUUGGCUAAUUACAUUUAUGUUGUCUUUCUAUUAUGAUAUAACAAGCUUGACUUUUUAGGAUGGGAUUCAAGUGAAAUCAUGAAGAUCAAGCCCAAGGAUCUCAUGAGAGAUCAUUACACUCGAAAGCAUAUAUGAAUGACUAUGUUGCAGGCUUUUCAAGACUACUAUUAGCAUUUGUAAUUCAAGUUUAUAGUAUUGUCCUGAUUUUGUAUGUAUGAUACUUUUAUUGGUAUAUAAUAUAUUAAUAGGUAUUAACUUAUGGCAUUGAUACGUGUCUCUGUGUGUAUAUAUAUAUAUAUAUAUAUAUAUAUAUAUAUAUAUAUAUAUAAUCAACUAAUUUUUUUUUUAAUUUUUUUUCUUUAUUUACUAAAAUUAUAAUCAGCUACAAAUUACAGUAAUCAACUACAAAAUUUUAUUAGAUAAUCAACUAUAUUUUAUUAGGUAACCAACUAUAAUUUUAACGUACGUACAAUUCAAAACAACUAUUUAUUAUAACAAAAACAACUGUUCAAAAUCAUAAUCAACUAUAAAAUCACCGAAAGCAACUACAAAAGUCACCGAAAUCAACUACAAAAUCAUCAAAACCAACUACAAAUUAUUGAAAUCAGCUACAACAAAACAAAUGUAUUUGAACAACAAGGAAAGUAAAAAUAAACUACAUAUCGAAAAAAACUCAAAACCAUAGGUCUUGAAUUAGAUACAUCAAUGUCCAGCUUUUAUUUACAAAAGGUUCGACGAUUUGGAUAUCUGUGUACCAUGAGUGUAUCUCUGUUAUUAUUUUUGUACAGUGACCCCGCCAGUGGUAUUUAUCCAGUUGACUAUUCACCACUGAACAAAACCACCUCCGCCGUGAAAAAUAGGAGAGAGCAAAAAGGGGAUUGAUCAGCGACGAGCGUUUUCGGAAGAUUGGUCCGUCGAACUGUUCUACUGAGCAGUAACUCUGGCGAAUUACUAUCAAAACCCUUCAAUUCACACAACUCCCCUAGGGGCACAAACGUAUUUGUCGGCUUCUUUUCUCUUAUUCCUCUCCGUCCGGUGGCUGUUUAAAAUUAACCUCCUUAUCUACGCUUAUCUCAAUGGAGUCAUAUGAAAUGUCUGCUCAACAUUUUAAUUCCAAUCGAAUCGAUAAAACGUUAUGGCUUUGAAGUGGAUUGACCGAGAAGAGAGGGGGAAAUAGUUGAAUUGUGUCACCAACCCUCAUUAUGAGAGUUGGUAUCUAGCCUUUACCAGUAGGGUAAAGCCUUUACCAAUAGGGUAAAGGUCUAGGUUCGAGUCCCUCACUUCCCUACUUCCCCUUGUACUGAACUUGAAUUUACUCCAAAAAAAGAAAAAAAUGUGUCGCAAGAGAGAGAAGGGGGAGAGUGGAUGAGUGAAUGAUAACGUGUUUCAAGAAGUAGGGCUAAUGAAGUAAAAAAGGUAACUUGGGUAUAUUAGGUAGCAAACGAUUUAUGAUUAAUUUAAGGGUUAAUAUACUAGAGGUACCUAGUUGGAAACAUAAUUAGAUGUGAGAUACAACCCUAAUAUAUUGUUCUGAACUAAAUCAUUUUUACAAAAAUAAAUAUGAUCUAUAUCUUUUACAUUUUUUUAUCCCAAAUUUGCUCUCAACCUAAACCAUAAAUUCUACAGUCACAUUUCUCUCAGAUCUAUUUGUUUUAUUUCUUCCCUCUUCUCUCUCGUCUCGCUCGUUCUCUCUGCUCUCUCUCACAGUACGCUAUCUCUCUCUCUCUCUCUCCCUCUCUCUUUCUCUCGUUCUCUCUCUCUCUCUCUCUCUCUCUCUCUCUCUCUCUCUCUCUCUCUCUCUCUCUCUCUCUCUCUCUCUCUCUCUCUCUCUCUCUCUCUCUCUCUCUCUCUCUCUCUCUCUAUCUCCAUUACUUCACUCCAUUGUUGAGGAGGGAUGGCUAUGGCGACAAUAAGAUGAUGGUUAUGGAGGCAGUUGACGACGACGACUAUGGUGGUGGAGGUCUGAUCUAUGACGGAUGAUGGCGGCUAGGUUUUAAUUUGGUUGACGGCUAUGGCGGUUUAGGGUUUAAUUUGGUCGAGGGCUAUAGUUUAAUUUGGUCGAUGACUAUGGCAGCUAGGGUUUAAUUUGGUCGAAGGCUAGGGUUUAAUUUGGUCGGCGGCUAGGGUUGGUGGACGACUAUGUAUUUGCAGAUUUGGUUUGGUGGCGGCAGCUGAAAUUUGUUGGCUGUUAUGAUUUAACAGAGGCUGGAAGAUGUUGGAAGUUAGGGUUUGGCGGCGGUUGGGAGUUGUUGAAUGAUAAAGUUCAGAAUAGUACACCAAUAAUAUACCGUAGAAUACUAUAGUAUACACUAUACAAUAGCAUAGCAUACCAUAGUAUACCAUAGUACACUAUAGUAUUAUAUUAAAGAUCUGCUGUAUUAUUUGAUAAAAACGAAAAAAAUAUUUUUUUCGUAAUUUUCAAUAAAAUUUUCUAAAAAAAAGUUACUUAUAAUAACGUAAAAAAUGCUAGAGUAAAAACGAAUAAAUAAAGAUGACCAAGUCGGUAAAAAUAAAAUAAAAUAUAUUAUUAGAUGAAAAAAUGAAGAUAUUAAAUGCAUAAUUAAAUGAUAAAAUGCAGUUUGAAUUUAAUUAACACAAAUUCGAAUUUAUGUAUGGAGGGGCAUUUUUUGGAAUGAAUGUAAUAAAAGAUGUGAAACAAAAGUUUAGUUAGGCUUGUGAUCAUUUAGUUCAAAUUAGUAUUGUCACCAGAGACCUAUAUUGUAAUAGCCCUUAGUUUAAAUAUCAAAAGGGAUAUUGGUAAAAGACAAAUAUCAAAUGAGUUGGUAACUUAGUAUUAUGUUCAAAUGUGAUUUGAGGGGUCUUUCUAAUUAACCAAAGAAAUCUAAAAGGGAACAUUACACAUUUCGUCCCUCAAGUUUACCUUGAUUUCACAUUUGGUCCCCCAAGUUCACAAAAAACAAGUUUAGUCCCUCAUAUUUCAAUAAUUUAACACUUUUAGAAUCAAGCAUGUGUGCAUUACUUUCUUAACAGACAGACUAACGUUAAAUUGAAGAAAAUGACAAAAAAAUGUCAAAUUGUUGAAACAUGAGGACCGAAUGUGUGUUUUUAAACAUGGAUGUCCAAAUGUGAAACCAGUGCAAACUUAAGGGAUGAAAACUGUAAUUUUCUCAAAUCUAAAUAUUAGGUUCUCAGCCCAAAUCAUUUAAGUUGUAGGAGAAUUAAAGGGCGGAAAGAUGGGAUGUGCAUUUCAUUUGAAAGGAUAUUCACUAGGCCAACAUGAUAUACACAUUUAUAUACACGCUUCAAUCGGAAACACAUCGCAAAAAAUCGUACCAAGUCAUCGCAAAACUUUGUUUUAUUACAGAAGCUCAAAUAAAUAAUUUAUAUUUUUGACACAACUUUCUUCAUCAUUUCCAGAAGAACAACAUCUUUCUUGGAUCCUUGAAGGUGAUUAAUUAACAUGGACGAAGUAGAUGCGUCGGCUAAGAACCCCUUUUUGUGCAUUUCCUCUAAGAAUGGCAUUGCCUUGUAAACCUCUUUCUUCUUCAGCAAGCCCUGGAUUAUGUUGUUGUAUGUCACGCUAUUCGGUGCACAACCACUUCUCUCCAUUUUUAUAAGCAAAUCUUUUGCUUCCUCUA